GAUGAACGCUGGCGGCGUGCCUAAUACAUGCAAGUCGAGCGAAUGGAUUAAGAGCUUGCUCUUAUGAAGUUAGCGGCGGACGGGUGAGUAACACGUGGGUAACCUGCCCAUAAGACUGGGAUAACUCCGGGAAACCGGGGCUAAUACCGGAUAACAUUUGAACCGCAUGGUUCGAAAUUGAAAGGCGGCUUCGGCUGUCACUUAUGGAUGGACCCGCGUCGCAUUAGCUAGUUGGUGAGGUAACGGCUCACCAAGGCAACGACGCGUAGCCGACCUGAGAGGGUGAUCGGCCACACUGGGACUGAGACACGGCCCAGACUCCUACGGGAGGCAGCAGUAGGGAAUCUUCCGCAAUGGACGAAAGUCUGACGGAACAACGCCGCGUGAGUGAUGAAGGCUUUCGGGUCGUAAAACUCUGUUGUUAGGGAAGAACAAGUGCUAGUUGAAUAAGCUGGCACCUUGACGGUACCUAACCAGAAAGCCACGGCUAACUACGUGCCAGCCGCCGCAGUAA
rnacentral:rRNA from 1 species